UGCAAAUGAUUUUUUGACUCUUUCUGCAACGGACCCCAGACCAGUAACAUAACAAAGAAAAAAAUACGAGACACGAUACACAAACGCACCCUUACACACACACCAUGGACCUCUAUGUCCAGCACACAAAACACACACAGGACCUGUCCAGCAUUUACAGUUUUUUACACCCUAUGCCGCCCUAUGGCUAUGCCUAGCCUACGGCCAGUGCAAGAAAUUUGAUUUCGCAAUCAAUCGCACAUGUGUGUUGUUUGUACACAAAGCUGACGCUGAGCACGUGUGUAAUUCUACCACACAUCUCGAAGUAGGCCUACACAUUUACAAUGUGAACUUAAUUUAAACGAAGAAGAAUUUCCGAUGGCGACGAAGCGCGACAGCUUUUCAAAGCUCUCUAUUUUACAGAAGAGGAAAAUGCUGCAACAAAUGAAGAGGCCACCAGUCUACUACGAGCCGGAGUACGGCUCCAGGCCAGGCCCAGUCCCAGUCUGAUUAUUGAGUCGAGUUUUGGCGAUUUGACAUCAGCUACGGGUUCGAAGAUUGCAGCAAGCAACGACGUUGUGUUCGAACAGAUCCCGUUGGUGCAGAGAGAGGUGGCUACUCAACAGAAGUAGAUUUCCCUUUCAAAAAGUCGGAUUGUUACAUUUCUGAAGCCGAUAUUAACUUUAAUUCACCAGGUCAACCCUGAGGAAGAAAACGUCAGAUGGUAUGUUUUGCUGACAUAGAGACAGAGUCUGACUCCUCUCAUUGCUCUGAAGCUGUAUCAUGUACGUGUAGAAGGAACUUGAGCAAAAAGCGAAAUGCAGCCUGUCUGGAAUUAGCGGCAAUACUGAGAAUGAAAUGCUGCAGAAGUUAUUGUCUUCAUAAGAUAUAAAGAAUACAUGUAGAUGCAAGGCCCGCAGAGGAUUUCAGAACAAGACUCUAGCAGAUCAGAGGCUAUGGAUUUUGCAGUACCUUAUUGAACAUCACAACUUUGUAAAUAUGGAUGGAGACUCAUCCUUGGGAUUAAUAUGACCUGCUUAUGGAAGAUGGAGUCAGGGUUAGCAGGAUUGGUGACAUCUCGUCCAUCAAAUCACCAUCGUAAAGGACUUUGUUCUUUGUCUGUGAUGAUGUCAAUGGUGUGGCUUAGUGAAUUUGUCGAUAAGUUUGGAGAGAAACUGCCAACCAACAACAAAAUCCAUCUUCUUCAUGCCUUAUACAUGGAAAUGUGUAUCGGAUUAUGAAGGAGGAAGUAGAAGAGCAAGGAGGUUCUGUUUGUAGUCAGCAAUACUUCUUCCGCAAAUGGAGAAUGGAAAUGUCUCAUGUUACCAUUCCAAAGGUGAACCGGUUUUUGAAAUGCGACAUAUGCACCAAACUGAAAUCUUGCCUAGAGAAGACAACUGGCAGAGAAGAGAGACAAACUUUACUGCAAGAAAGAGAGUCACACCUUUUCCAGCAAAAGUAAAGGUAGGAUUUUUAAUGAAGGGCCACACACACGAGGACAUUGACCAGCUAUUCACCCGGGUUUCAACAUGCAUAACACGGCAAAACAUACCAACGCUUUCAUCUCUGCUUUGAUCCAACUUCGGAGUUCUCAAAUUAUGAACAACAACCUAUUCAAGCGGUCCAUCUAGGUACUAAGCAGAAAAGGCCUCAACAUCCAUUAUUAAAACUGGGAGAUAUGGUUGCAGUCUACUUAGCAGAGUUCAGUAAUAAGUGGCCGCGAGUGAGCAAAGUGUUAGAAAUGACUGGAGACAGUGUGAAGCUGCAUUAGUACUCAGGAUCAGAAACGUCCACGUGGAUAUUGCCUACCACAUCAGUUCGAGGACAGAAGGGUCAGCCGUACACGGGAGAAGUCUCUCUUCAAGAAGUAAUAUCUUUCCCCUACAGUCUCACUAAAACAAACAAAUUACCAUAGGAUAUCCAGCGUCACGUGAAGAAUACUUUGCAUGUUAGGUCUGUAUGAACAUACACUGUAUUCAUACCAAUUUGGAAUGAGUUUGUUUGUCCAGGACUCAAAAGCUGUAUGUCUAUAUGGAAGCCACUUGAAUUAUGUAUUUUUGUGAUAUUACAAUGUACCUAUAUUUUUCCACAUUGGAUAUGGUGAUAAUUUCUAGGGUUUAUCUUCACAUGAGUGUGAUCACCUACAUGUAUCUACAUUAAGAAGAGAUAAAUGCACAAUGAUUGAUAGAGAGUUGGUACCUGAAGUAGGUAAUGAUUUAACCCUAAAUAGACUGGGCUAUUUCUAUGCCUAAGAAGACUGGGGGGGAGGGCUGAUUCAGCCCCCCU